GACGUCGAAUAUCGACGUCAUAAACACCAAAGUUGAUCGUGUUUAUGACGUCGAAUAUCGACGUCAUAAACACCAAAGUUGAUCGUGUUUAUGACGUCGAAUAUCGACGUCAUAAACACCAAAGUUGAUGGUGUUUAUUGCGUCGAAUAUCGACGUCAUAAACACCAAAGUUGAUCGUGUUGAUGACCUGCAAUAUGGACGUCAUUAACACCAAAGUUGAUCGUGUUUAUGACGUCGAAUAUCGACGUC